rfam:Ciona savignyi cont_36719, whole genome shotgun sequence.
GUCGUCGUGGCCGAGUGGUUAAGGCGACAGACUAAAAAUCUGUUGGGCUCUGCCCGCACAGGUUCGAAUCCUGUCGGCGACG